rnacentral:rRNA from 1 species
UUGCGAACGGGUGAGUAACGCGUAGGUAACCUGCCUGGUAGCGGGGGAUAACUACUGGAAACGGUAGCUAAUACCGCAUAACGUCGCAAGACCAAAGAGGGGGACCUUAGGGCCUCUUGCCAUCGGAUGUGCCCAGAUGGGAUUAGCUAGUAGGUGGGGUAACGGCUCACCUAGGCGACGAUCCCUAGCUGGUCUGAGAGGAUGACCAGCCACACUGGAACUGAGACACGGUCCAG